CUGACGUCAUCCGGCUGUCAGUCUUGCGGCGCCGCAUGAAGUCAAAUAAGCCUCCUGACUGCGUGCGAGAACAUUUUGAAUUAUCUGGCACGAGGCAUCACACGUCAAACUUCAACUGACACAACGGUCUCGGUGAAGGGAAUAAGCAAAAGCUCCUUUAAAUUUCGUCAUUUUUUAUACACAUCCCGUUUAUUUUGUAGUUAAUUGUUAGAUAAGUAAGUAAUUUCGUCAAGUUUUCGUUACAGAGUAAGAUUUCGUUAUCAUCGUUACCAUAUACAGUAUUUAUAUUGGUUCAAGAGCGCAGUUUGAUAACUCAUUCAAGGGGGUUCAGUUCCUGCAGUCUUCCAGCAAUACUGGCGCGAAUGACGAUGCGGACACGAACUGCACACUACAGUAUACCGCCGCCUACUGUACUGUAGUAAAAUAACGUGUAGGAUUGAAUACUGUGGCAAACGCAGUAAAAAAAGCCAUUUAAUUCAUUGUAAAAACAAUGGGCAUGCCAGUUUAAGUAACUUGUGGGCUAAAUCACCAAAAUAAGUUUGUAGAUGUGGUUCAAUUAUUUUUAAAAUGUGUAGCAUAAUGGACCAGCCUGAAUGUAUGUAGCCUAUAAAUAUAUUGUUUAGACUUUAUUUUUAAACCUUUAUUUGGUGGUAUAUGGUUAAACCUUUUUAAUGGUAGCAAUAGGCUUUAUACCCAGCUGCACUACUUCCUGAACUUCAGCCAGCUCCUUGUUUCCUGUCUGCCAUUAUUGGUCAAACUGAUUAAUCCAGGUGUGCCUGACCUCAGUAGUCACAACAACAAUAAUCAGACAGACCUGGAUUUAUCAGUUUGUCCAAUAAUGGCAGACAGGAAACAAUGGGCUGGCUGAAGUUCAGGAAGUAGUGCAGCUGGGCAUAAAGCCUAUUAAAUAAAAAUCUUAAAUUGAAUCAAAUCUCUUAUAAUAAUACAUAAAAGCUCUGGGAGGGUUGGGGGUACAUCUGGGUAACAUUUUAACAUUUAAUAUAUUUUGAUGUGUGUGUAUAUAUAUUAACUUUCUUUAUUUUGUUUUCUCAGCCUUAAACAUCUAAACAUGUCCUCCAAAAAGGUAAGUUCAGCAGAUCAGCUUAUCUUAUUCUGUAAUAUUGAUACUGGUUUGAGAAAAACUAAGAUUAAACAACGUACAUGUUUCCAGGAAAAAGGGAAAAACACUGGAAAACAAUUUCAGCCUAAGGUUUGAGAUGGCUAACUGUGUACAUUGCCUUUGUGUACUGCAAGCUGAACUUACAGAUUUAUAUGGACUUUACUUACAGGUUUCCUGUGCUGUUUUGCUCCAUUUUACAGAACAAAAUAAGGCUGAGGUAGCACCAUCCUUGUGGUUAGAGUGAAAGAAUGUGGGUAUUGAGACCAAAAUAAAUAAUGUGCCAUUCUGGACAAACAGCUGUGGACAAUACAAGCAGUCAGAGUAGCCCAUUUUCUCACACAGAUGAGGAGCAACCAGUAAGAAAAAGCAAAAAGAUGUUUUGAUGUUGCCUGAGGCACCUUAUUCACAUCAGUCAAUUUCUUCCAAUAAUGAAUCAAGAAAUCCUGGAGUGGAGAAUCAUUCUGAAAGUAGACCAAAUACAGGACAACACCACAGCAGUGGUUGGAAAAAUGCAGCAGACAAUGAGCAAACCAAGCUGACUUUCAAAAGAUGAUUCGUUAUCUGUUUCUUCAAAGGGGAGGCAGUUUGGGAGAUGGGAAAUAGGAGGAUGCUUCAGCUACACAGGGCGAAUUUCAGCAGCUCAGUUUCACACUUGCAACUAACAAUGAAUUAUAGUUAGAAGACAACGGAAAUAUUUGACAUGGGAGUCCAGCAGACAGCCAGAGACACGCACACACACGGAGCUGAAGCGCGUUUGACUGAAGCGUACGGGAGAUCAGGCACGCGCACGGGAGCUCGCUCGCGCACGCACACGCAAACACGGAGCACAGGAAAAUUACACCUGUUCAAUUAAAAUAAAAGAACUUUGUGGUAAACAAUGUUUAGCGUGUCUGAUUUCAUUGGUUGUAAUGAAAUAAAACGAUGUGCUGAGGACUUUAGGCGAACGUCCCCUAAAAGUCCCGAAAGUCCGCUGACCGUCCUGCAAACGUCCUUGUGAAAGUCCGGAGGACGUCUUCGCGGACGUCCGCUCGACGUAACAGGGGACCCUACACGAUAACGUCCAGGGGACGUUCGCAGAGGACAUUUAGGGGACGUCCAGGGGACCUUUUUUUGUUAGCU